rnacentral:rRNA from 4 species
GGUUGCGAUCAUACCAGCAAUAAUGCA